CCCUUAGAUGUCCUGGGCCGCACGCGCGCUACACUGACAUGUUCAACAAGCCUCCUAGUUCGACAGGAUUUGGGAAAUCUUUGAACGCAUGUCGUGAUAGGGAUAGAUCAUUGCAAUUAUUGAUCUUGAACGAGGAAUUCCUAGUAAACGCGAGUCAUCAGCUCGCAUUGAUUACGUCCCUGCCCUUUGUACACACCGCCCGUCGCACCUACCGAUUGAAUGUUUCGGUGAAGAUUCCGGAUAGGACUUUGUUGAUUUAUUUCAAUUUUGUCUUAAAAGCUAUCUAAACCUCAACAUUUAGAGGAAGGUGAAGUCGUAACA
rnacentral:rRNA from 1 species